AGUGAACGCUGGCGGUAGGCCUAACACAUGCAAGUCGAACGGCAGCACAGUAAGAGCUUGCUCUUACGGGUGGCGAGUGGCGGACGAGUGAGGAAUACAUCGGAAUCUACUUUUUCGUGGGGGAUAACGUAGGGAAACUUACGCUAAUACCGCAUACGACCUACGGGUGAAAUCAGGGGAUCUUCGGACCUUGCGCGAUUGAAUGCGCCGAUGUCGGAUUAGCUAGUUGGCGGGGUAAAGGCCCACCAAGGCGACGAUCCGUAGCUGGUCUGAGAGGAUGAUCAGCCACACUGGAACUGAGACACGGUCCAGACUCCUACGGGAGGCAGCAGUGGGGAAGAUUGGACAAUGGGCGCAAGCCUGAUCCAGCCAUACCGCGUGGGUGAAGAAGGCCUUCGGUUUGUAAAGCCCUUUUGUUGGGAAAGAAAAGCAGCAGGUUAAUACCCCGCUGUUCUGACGGUACCCAAAGAAUAAGCACCGGCUAACUUCGUG
rnacentral:rRNA from 1 species